rnacentral:tRNA from 1 species
GAAUUAAGAUAAUCAAAGUAAAGCUUCUAACUUAAACUUUUAAUAGUGUAAUUCUAUUAGUAAUUCU